AUUGAACGCUGGCGGCAUGCCUUACACAUGCAAGUCGAACGGUAACAGGUCUUCGGAUGCUGACGAGUGGCGAACGGGUGAGUAAUACAUCGGAACGUGCCUAGUAGUGGGGGAUAACUACUCGAAAGAGUGGCUAAUACCGCAUGAGAUCUACGGAUGAAAGCAGGGGAUCGCAAGACCUUGUGCUACUAGAGCGGCCGAUGGCAGAUUAGGCAGUUGGUGGGAUAAAAGCUUACCAAGCCGACGAUCUGUAGCUGGUCUGAGAGGACGAUCAGCCACACUGGGACUGAGACACGGCCCAGACUCCUACGGGAGGCAGCAGUGGGGAAUUUUGGACAAUGGGCGCAAGCCUGAUCCAGCAAUGCCGCGUGCAGGAUGAAGGCCUUCGGGUUGUAAACUGCUUUUGUACGGAACGAAAAGCCCCGGGUUUAUACCCUGGGGUCAUGACGGUACCGUAAGAAUAAGCACCGGCUAACUACGUGCCAGCCGCCGCCGUAA
rnacentral:rRNA from 1 species